rnacentral:rRNA from 1 species
AUUGAACGCUGGCGGCAUGCCUUACACAUGCAAGUCGAACGGUAACAGGUUAAGCUGACGAGUGGCGAACGGGUGAGUAAUGUAUCGGAACGUGCCCAGUAGUGGGGGAUAACUACUCGAAAGAGUGGAGAAUACCGCAUACGACCUGAGGGUGAAUGUGGGGGACCGUAAGGCCUAGCACGAAUGGCACGGCCGAUAACAGAUUAGCUAGUUGGUGGGGUAAAAGCACACCAAGGCGACGAUCGGUAGCUGGUCUGAGAGGACGACCAGCCACACUGGGACUGAGACACGGCCCAGACUCCUACGGGAGGCAGCAGUGGGGAAUUUUGGACAAUGGACGCAAGUCUGAUCCAGCCAUGCCGCGUGCGGGAAGAAGGCCUUCGGGUUGUAAACCGCUUUUGUCAGGGAAGAAACGAGUUUCUCUAAUACAGAGACUUAAUGACGGUACCUGAAGAAUAAGCACCGGCUAACUACGUGCCAGCCGCCGCGGUAACAC